rnacentral:rRNA from 1 species
ACCCAUGUGAACAUACCUGUUGCCUCGGUGGCCUACCCUGUAGUUACCCUGUAGCUACCCUGUAGUUCGCCGAAGGACCAAAAAACUCUUUUAUUAUUGUAUCUCUGAGUAAAAAACAAAUAAGUUAAAACUUUCAACAACGGAUCUCUUGGUUCUGGCAUCGAUGAAGAACGCAGCGAAAUGCGAUAAGUAAUGUGAAUUGCAGAAUUCAGUGAAUCAUCGAAUCUUUGAACGCACAUUGCGCCCAUUAGUAUUCUAGUGGGCAUGCCUGUUCGAGCGUCAUUAAGUCCACUUAAGCCUAGCUUAGUGUUGGGAGUCUACUUUGAGCGGUGCUACCCUGUAGUUACCCUGUAGUUCCUUAAAGACAGCGGCGGAGUUGUAAUGCCCUCUGAGCUUAGUAAUUUUUUCUAGCUUUCGAGUCGUUACUUCCCCUGCCGUUAAACCUUCUACUUCGGUAGUUUUUUAAUGGUUGACCUCGGAUCAGGUAGGAAUACCCGCUGAACUUAAGCAUAUCAAUAGGCGGAGGAA